rnacentral:rRNA from 1 species
GUGCCAGCCGCCGUAAUACCGGCAGCACGAGUGAUGGCCGAUCUUAUUGGGCCUAAAGCGUCCGUAGCCGGCCGGACAAGUCCGUUGGGAAAUCCACGCGCUCAACGCGUGGGCGUCCAGCGGAAACUGUCCGGCUUGGGGCCGGAAGAUCCGAGGGGUACGUCCGGGGUAGGAGUGAAAUCCCGUAAUCCUGGACGGACCGCCGGUGGCGAAAGCGCCUCGGAAGGACAGACCCGACGGUGAGGGACGAAAGCUAGGGUCUCGAACCGGAUUAGAUACCCUAGUAGUCC